UACGAAGGGGGCUAGCGUUGUUCGGAAUUACUGGGCGUAAAGGGCGCGUAGGCGGUGUGUCAAGUCAGGCGUGAAAGCCCCGGGCUCAACCUGGGAACCGCGCUUGAGACUGGCACGCUCGAGUUCGGGAGAGGAUGGUGGAAUUCCCAGUGUAGAGGUGAAAUUCGUAGAUAUUGGGAAGAACACCGAUGGCGAAGGCAGCCAUCUGGACCGACACUGACACUGAGGAGCGAAAGCCAGGGGAGCAAACGGG
rnacentral:rRNA from 1 species